rnacentral:lncRNA from 1 species
CUAGAUUCUGCUGUUACUACCAUACCUUAAUUCUUUUUUUUUUCUUUUUUUUAGAGUAAAAGCAUUUAACUGCAAAUUUAUGAAAGACCAAUGAGGAAAAUGCCAAUAAAGAGGUUGUGGAUGAAGGCCUGAGAGAUGUGGGUGCACAAUCAGGUUACCCAGCCUUAGGUAAUUGUACCUCAGUUCAGCUGUGGUAACCCUGCCUCCCAAAGGCAAAGAAAGUAAGUAUAUCUGCUAAUUAUUAAGGUGAAUGCAAUAGGAAAUUGUGACGUUUUGAAUUGCUUUGGUAUAACCUUUUUUUUUUUUUUUUUUUAAUGCUGUCUUACAGUUGCAUGCCUGGAAUAUUUGUUGAAUCUCUACUUAACUCUUGAUUGACAUGUAUGUGAGAUAAUAAACUUGAUUAGUUAAGAUCCUCCCGUGUUUGG